ACACUGCAUAUACGCUCUUUUGAACUCUGCUUUUUUUCCUUGGUAAUAUCUCCUGGAAAUCGCUCCAUAUUACUCAGGAGGAAUUAAGAAAGAGUUCUUAGUUCAACAGCACACUCUCCUGUGCAGUUCUUUAUGGAUCAUGAUUGUCAUGGUGGAGGUAGAUGGAAAGGACUGGUUUCAGCCGCAGGCAAGCCGCAGGAGUUUGAAAUUUUUUUAUUCUAUUUAUAUAUAUUUUCAAAGAUGUGAUGUUUUAUGUCACAGUCAUAUUGAAGCAAAAUGUAAGGAGGCGAAAUUGGAGAUUACCUUGAGUGUAUUCACUUCCUCCAAGGCAUCAUUUCUUUCACGCUUAAGCC